UGCACGUUUGGUAAUUGUUCGAACAAUUAUUCGACCAUGUAAAAAGAUUGAAAAUAUUUUUAUAAAUAAGUCCAUCUUUGAAAUGCAACACUGUCAACAGUUUAAAUGUAAGGACAAUUUAGUGUUAUGUGGUAGGUCCGGUAGAGACUCACCUGUUUCUCAACUAGAAAGAAGAAGACGCAACACUCUGUUGCCUUCACCCACAUCGUCUCCAGACUGGAUCGUGGAAUAAGUGACCUUUGGACAGAUAAUAUAGUGCGUACACGGACUGAAGGACUCAUUGGUAGCUCUUUUCGGGAUACGGCCACCGUUCUCCCUCCGGGAGUUUCAACAAUCCUCAAAUCGCCGGCGAUAGAAUAACGAGGACAUGUCAUCCAUGUUGCACCCACAUCAUCAAGACUGCAACGACCAACAUCCGUAGGCCUGGUGGAAUACAACACCUACAACCCCAGAGCCCGUUGCAGAACCAGCAGCAGUACCAUUCAACAUCAAGAAGUUAUCAUCAGAUACCAAAAGCCAUAAGUAUAAUCAGGAACUGUUAGUUUUUGGCAAGAAUUUGAAUAUAUUUGUUAAUGCAAUUUACUAAGUCAUAUUUUUAUUAUAUCUUUAUUGAACAAUAAACAUGAUUAGUUAAAAUAA